GACGAACGCUGGCGGCGUGCUUAACACAUGCAAGUCGAACGGAAAGGCCCUGCUUUUGUGGGGUGCUCGAGUGGCGAACGGGUGAGUAAUACGUGAGUAACCUGCCCUUGACUUUGGGAUAACUUCAGGAAACUGGGGCUAAUACCGGAUAGGAGCUCCUGCUGCAUGGUGGGGGUUGGAAAGUUUCGGCGGUUGGGGAUGGACUCGCGGCUUAUCAGCUUGUUGGUGGGGUAGUGGCUUACCAAGGCUUUGACGGGUAGCCGGCCUGAGAGGGUGACCGGCCACAUUGGGACUGAGAUACGGCCCAGACUCCUACGGGAGGCAGCAGUGGGGAAUAUUGCACAAUGGGCGGAAGCCUGAUGCAGCAACGCCGCGUGCGGGAUGACGGCCUUCGGGUUGUAAACCGCUUUCGCCUGUGACGAAGCGUGAGUGACGGUAAUGGGUAAAGAAGCACCGGCUAACUACGU
rnacentral:rRNA from 1 species